UACGUAGGGGGCUAGCGUUGUUCGGAAUCACUGGGCGUAAAGGGCGUGUAGGCGGUCUGUUAAGUCUGAUGUGAAAUCCCCUCGCUCAACGAGGGAACUGCGUCGGAUACUGGCAGACUCGAGUACCGGAGAGGAAGGUGGAAUUCCCGGUGUAGCGGUGAAAUGCGUAGAUAUCAGGUGGAACACCGGUGGCGAAGGCGGUCUUCUGGACAGUGACUGACGCUGAGACGCGAAAGCGUGGGGAGCAAACAGG
rnacentral:rRNA from 1 species